ACCAGGGCAACCAUGCACCGAACGUCGAACACAGCGACGUCGAGUCUGCGACGCAUCUGCGGGCCCAACUACGUGUCGUCGGGAGCAGCGACGACGAGGAAAUUUGAUAUGGGCCCCGCUGUUUACAUGGUCGCAGAGCCGGUUCCGGCCUAGAAACGAGGACGCGCCACCUCUUGGGUUUUGUACCAGAAAGGCCAAAUCCGCGCAUAGUACGCCCAGCCAGCCAAACAACAAAGAUGCUAGGAGGCGCCGCGCUCCAAGUGUGGCUGUCUUCAUGAACGAGUGGCAUGGCGUGUGCUGUUGAGGUGCACGAACCGCUGUCGUGACGGCGACUUCCAUCCUCGACUGCUCCACGAUGCGCUCUUACAAGACGCAUCGUGCAAAGCCCAACUGCCGCUGGCGCCUACUCCACCCUGGGAAACCGCAUGACCAAGGACAUGAGCGUUCCCGCAAGAUAGAAAACAGCCGCGACCAUCGGAAGAGCUUAGCGGUUUCAGUGCCUGUGCCCCGACGCAGUUGACUAAUCCUCUGGCUUACGUCAUGCGGGCUGGCAAAUCAUCCGUUAUCCUUGUAAAAAAAAAGAAAAGAAAAUCGAGCAACUAUUGUCUGGUGCAAUGCCGAGCCCGUACUGCUGCCUUACUUGUUGAUGUAAUGCAUGUAGUAACACUAUUUACCUGUAAUAUGGAAGCUAGCCCUGCUCCUGCUAUGUCUGAAAGCCUGGUUUUAGAACUUUAGGAACUAUCGGCUGGCCAGACAAAAAUGAUCGCUGAAGUACAGAGUAUGAAAGUCCAGCUAGUAGCAGCUCACAAAACAAUUACAGACGUAGGCGCACGAUUAGCUGGCCUUGAAAGUCACUCUCAGGUACUGCUUCGCUUACGAAGUGCAAUAAGUGAAAUACACACCGAGAAAAGCACGAUUAGUCGGCGCAUUGCCCAGUGAGAGUCUCGUAUCGAUGAUGGAUAAAGUCGAAGCUAUUGCGAUAAUCAUAUUUUUAUUGUAUUUCAUACUUUCCAGUUCGGAAGCAUUCGCCAAGUUCAAACAGUCGAAGACGUAGUUUUGCCACGACGCGCUACGGAAAACAUUUGAAUCGAAAAAAAAUUUAACGUGACCAGUACAUUCGCUAGGAGCGCUGCCGCCCUAUCAUAGCAAAGUUUUCGUCUGUCAAAACCAAAUACUAUGAUGAUUUCCUAUGGCCGCAAACUGAUAGGCACUAAUUACACAAUUGAGGGAGACUUCUCUCAACCACUUCGUAAUGUAUGGAAAUAUUUGCUUGCAGUCCUAUAGAACAUGGAAGUGCCCUGCUCCCUCUGAUUGAAAACGUUGUUCGUUGGCCUCAAAGUGACGUACGUUCCAUGAAUGCUCGAGUACCGUAACGGAAAUGUCGUAGCGAUUAUUUUGUCGCACCAAAACCAAUCAAAGUUCUCUCAUUAACCUACGAAAUAACACUUUGAUCUUUGCUAUUUACGCUAGCAUACACAAUUUUUUUACAAACCAGGACCUCACAUUAAAGCUUGUGUCCUGCAGAAAAAUGUUGGCUGCAGUGGAAACAUGGCUUACGCUUCCGAUCUGUGAUAAUGAAGCCGAUUCACCGAAUGUUCAGGCUUAAAACAAAAAUUGUGGAGACACGCGCGGCGGUGUCGUUUUCCUGGUAAUCGAUCGGCAUCUGUCUAGCUUGUCGAUAUCUAGUCCCAUUUCGAAAUGCUAAGGCUAGGCAUAUUGUUGUGGGGUGCUAACGCACCACACCAGAAUAUUCUUUUCGGUGUCUCUUACAGGCCUCCUCAGGACAACCCUGGCUUAGGCCUAAAACCUAAUUAUCACUGCCACAAACAAACUGCUGGUAUAGCACACCACAAAAGGCAAUAUACGAUUACUUCUCUUCGGGGAUUUUCAUUUUCAACACAUAUACUGGAGUGACCUGACAUCUGUUUCGUUGACGAGUCAAGCAGAAUCGAACAAUUACAAGAUUUGUGUCUCAAUUUAAUUUAAUGAAGAUGAGCGACUUGUGGAUCACUGCAGGGCUUGCACCAAUUGUUUGCCACGGUUCCGCGAUGCGAGGAUUUUGGGUAGAGGCAAGCAUCAGACAUCACGUGAAACAUUGGAAGCCUUCUACAUCAAGAAAGCGGGUCCGAACUGUGUUAGUGAUACGUCGGUUUUUCUUUACGAGGCUGAGCUGAAGUUUCUAUCACGCCUACUCCGAUAAAACCUUGUACUCCAUGUUGCCUUGUACGCAUGCGCGGUGUAUUGGAGGGCUAUAUAUGUCGAGUGCUUUCACCCUCA